rnacentral:rRNA from 1 species
GCGCAGGCGGCUUGGUCAGUCUGAAGUGAAAGCCCGGGGCUCAACCCCGGAAUAGCUUUGGAUACUGCCAAACUUGAGUGCGUGAGAGGAGAGUGGAAUUCCUGGUGUAGCGGUGGAAUGCGUAGAUAUCAGGAGGAACACCAAUGGCGAAAGCAGCUCUCUGGCACGUUACUGACGCUGAGGCCCGAAAGCGUGGGGAGCGAACA